rnacentral:rRNA from 1 species
AACGAACGCUGGCGGCAGGCCUAACACAUGCAAGUCGAGCGACGACUUCGGUUCUAGCGUCGCACGGGUUGGUAACCCGUUGGAUUGUGUCUUUCUCUACGCCAUAGCCCUGGGAAACUGUGAGUAAUACCGUAUACGCCCUCUCUUGGAAAGUUUUAUCGGAGAAGGAUCAGCCCGCGUGGGAUUAGGUGGUUGGUGGGGUAAUGGCCUACCAAUCCUACGAUACAUAGCUGGUUAGAGAGGAUGGUCAGCCACACUGGGACUGAGACACGGCCCAGACUCCUACGGGAGGGAGGAGUGGGGAAUCUAAGACAAUGGGGGCAACGCUGAAGGAGCCAGGCUGGGUGAGUGAUGAAGGCAGUAGGGAAGUAAAGCGCUCUAAGAUGGGAAGAAAAUGACGGUACCAGCAGAAGAAGCCCCGGCUAACUACGUG